GAUGAACGCUGGCGGCGUGCCUAAUACAUGCAAGUCGAACGCUGGAAAUCUAGCUUGCUAGAUUGAAGGAGUGGCGAACGGGUGAGUAAUACAUAAGCAACCUACCCACGAAGACUGGGAUAAUCUCUGGAAACGGGGACUAAUACCGGAUAGGUAAUCGGAAGGCGUCUUCUGAUUAUUAAAGGUUAAAAACACUGGUGGAUGGGCUUAUGGCGCAUUAGUUAGUUGGUGAGGUAACGGCCCACCAAGACGAUGAUGCGUAGCCGGCCUGAGAGGGUGAACGGCCACAUUGGGACUGAGACACGGCCCAGACUCCUACGGGAGGCAGCAGUAGGGAAUUUUCGGCAAUGGGGGAAACCCUGACCGAGCAACGCCGCGUGAGUGAUGACGGCCUUCGGGUUGUAAAGCUCUGUUGUAAGGGAAGAACGGUAGAUAGAGAAUAUCUAAAUGACGGUACCUUACCAGAAAGCCACGGCUAACUACGUG
rnacentral:rRNA from 1 species